AUGGAAUUCAAAGACUCUUUAAUGGCAGUGGCUGUAUGCAAGUGGGGGCCGCCCCGUAAGUGUCUGUAGUUAUAUGAGGAAUAUUAGAAAUAUUGCUUGAAUGACUCAUGUUUCAAUUGGGGAAAUCAUUUACAGCAGGAGUUUCAAAAGUGUGGUUCGGGGGCCAUCAGGGACGUCCUUUUUUUAAUUGACCCUGUCCCCUGCAAAAACUGAAAAGUUGAAAACUGAGUUUUAGCUGUUUUUUUUCCCUACACUACUCACAAUUUUGGGAGAAAUUUCCAAAUUUAAAAUUUACAAGAUAACAACAGCAACCCCACCACCACCGCACCUCCCCCCAAUCAUGUUUCUUUGCUGUUGUCCCAUGAAAAGAUUAAAACAAUCUGCAGUGUACUCAUUUAUGUGACAUACUGUGUGGAACCUAAUAGAACUUUCCAAGGUAGGAAAGGAAAGACACUGUAGGCUGUGUGAACCUUUGGGUUGGCACUGCGGUUGCCAGGCAGCCUGCCAUUGAUUCCUAGCCAACAGCACCAUCUCGUGGACAAGUCCUGCAUGCGUGACUGUAGGGUUCGGCGAUACUGCAAAUGUUCGUAGAUACAGGAAAAUAUUGCCAUGUACUAUAAUGUAUUCCCCUUUUAAGUAAUGUCAAAAUAACAAUGUAAGACACAUAACAUAAUCUACACUAUACUGCCCUAGCGAUGCUCGUGGUGACAUUUCGACCCGCCGGCCCCGCCCAAAGGACCAGUUUGGCCACGUGCAGCGGUUUGACGCUCGCGUUGUUUGGCUUUAAACGCUAUAAGCCAACGUGACUUCGUGGCGGCUACGUUUGCCGCCUCCACGAUGACCGAAUAAGUGUUGAGUCAUUACGUUGGUUUGAUGUAUUUUUAUCUGGGCAAAUGUUCACGAUGACCGAAUAAGUGUUUAGUCAUUACGUUGGUUUGAUGUAUAUUUUAUACCGGAGCAAAUGUUGUAUUUUAUGCCUAAAGUUGGCGAGAGUAACGGCAGUAAUAGUAUAUCACAGUAGUAAUUAUCUGCAUUUUUUUGCGGGCACCUUUAAACUCGACGGAAGUUAUCUUAUUUCAUUUCCCCCGCAGAGAAUGUCGCCGUGAAGGUAAAUAAGGGGGUAGUACCUCCUGCCGACAGGUUGCAUGCCUGUCAAAUCUCACAUUUAUCAAGCUGAAGGGGAAUAACAGGGUCAAGUUUUACCGCUUCCUGUUUCUCACAUACAAAGCUAAUGACGGACGUCAAAGAUGGAGCCUGAUAUCGAGGAAGAUGAAAGUGUCUACACGGAGCUGAGUGAGGACAAGCUGGAGCUCAGCUCAGAAGUGGAGGACGAAGACGCGCUCAUUAAAAAUUAUGAAAGUCAAGUCCAGCUCUUCUUACAGGAGCGUUGGCGGGCGAUGGAGAUGUGGCCAAUAGCAGUGCUAGAGGAGGACCAACUCAAGGAUCUCUACCACAAAGUUUUCACCAAUGGACAGAACCCAGACGCCAUGACACAGAAGCUCAAGGAUCAGCUCAUUCAUUUCACAGAGCAGUCACGUAAACUCCGAGUGGCCAAUCAGGAAGUGGAAUUGAGUAACAAGCACCUUUUAAAGACGGUGACAGAGCAGCAAGAAAAGAUAGAGGAGCUACACACAGAGCUCAGAAAGACGAGCGAUGACCUGAGAACCACCACAGCCAAAACGGGUGACCUGACCCAACAACUCCAAGGUGUUGAGCAUCAGCAACAGAGACAGGAGGAAGAUGUGGGAGAGACUCAGCAACUCCAAUCGCUUCAGUGGAUUUCUGGCCAACGAGAGGAAAAACCAAAGGCUUGCCCGGAAACUGCUUGUGAGGAGCAACAUCAGUGGGAGAAAACAGUCCGGGCCCUCCAGGCUCGAUGUUCUGUCCUGGAGCAGGAGAGGUAUGAGAUCCUGACGAAAGUCCAUGAGCGUAUGCAAAUGGCCGACGCCAUCGCGCUGCAGGAUGUGGCUAAGACUGUUGGGAGACAGAAGCCGAAGGUAGGCGAUUUGGAAAACAAAGAUAAGGCCAUCCAGCAGCUGAUCCAGGAAGCUGCGAUGCGCACCAGGAGGGAGGUAGAUAACGUACGUGAGCAGUGCAACGUUGAAAUCCAUCGACUAGCAGAGGAGCUGUCCCAUAUGCAUAUGAAGUGUGCGCUCCAAGACUCUCACAUGGAGAGGUCCAACCAUGAGAAAAAAGCUCUGCGGAAGGAACUGGAGAUGGUAACAAAGUGCCGGGCAGAUGAAGACAUGGAAAAGACCAAUGCUCUUCACCAGAGGUGUCUAAAUGCCGAGAGGAUGAUGGAUGAAAUGAGCGUCUCGUUGCAAAGCACUCAAUGUAAACUCCGGAAGUUAGAAAUGGACAGCAGCGAGGAAGCGCAGCGCAGCCAGGAGGAAGUGCAGCGUCUGCAGGGCUGCUUGGCCACAGCCUGGAAGGACCGCGACAGUAUCAGUGAGGAUCGACUCCAGCUGCAACAAGAGAACCUGAAGCUCCACAGGGAGAUGGAUGAGCUGCACAGAACGUCCAUGAUGGCCCAAACCACUUCCAGACAGCAGAUGUUGCAGAUGGAGCAAGAGACCAAGAGGAAGGUGCAGACAUUUCAAGCACAGAUGGUGGCGCUGGAAGAGACCAGCCGCAGCUUGAAUGCUGAUCGGAUGCACCUCCUCAUGGCACAGCAGAAAAGUCUUCAGCUCUCCAAGGAAGAGGCCACCAACAUGGCAAAGGCCUUUGAAACCAGGAUCCAACAGCUCAUGACGGAGACGAAUCAACACAAGCUACGAUUGCGGGAGCUGGAGCUGCAGCUCAGAAACAAUCACGACACGAUGACCGAGUACGAGAGGCAGCUAGCAGAGCAUCACGACAAGUCGGUUUCUCUGCGGAGACGACUGACCCAGGCUGAGCAAAGGGCAGCGACUGCUACACAACAGCUGUCUAUGAUGACAUCCCAGCGAACAGCAGCGAGACUGCAAAAUGAAGAUUCUGACUGUACGUGAACCCGACACGUUGACAUUUACUUGUCAGGAGAAUGUGUGAUAAUAAAGGAUUUUGAUUUGUAGACACAUUUUUCCUCCAUUUGUGCAUAUUUCUAUUCAGAUUCGUGCAUUUUCAUUUGAUAUACCGUAUUUUCAGGACUAUAAGUUCCCCCGGAGUAUAAGUCGCACAAGGCCAAAAAUGCAUCAUUAGGUAGAAAAAAACACAAGUCGCACUGGGGUAUAAGUCGCACAAGGCCAAAAAUGCAUCAUGAGGUAGAAAAAAACAUACAUAAGUCGCACUGGAGUAUAAGUCGCACUAGGCCAAAAAUGCAUCAUUAGGUAGAAAAAAACAUUCAUAAGUCGCACUAGGCCAAAAAUGCAUCAUUAGGUAGAAAAAAACACACAUAAGUCGCACUGGGGUAUAAGUGACACAAGGCCAAAAAUGCAUCAUUAGGUAGAAAAAAAUAUAAGUCGCACUGGAGUACAAGUCGCACAAGGCCAAAAAUCCAUCAUUAGGUACAAAAAAAAACAUAAGUCGCACUGGAGUAUAAGUCGCACAAGGCCAAAAAUGCAUCAUUAGGUAGAAAAAAACAUACAUAAGUCGCACAAGGCCAAAAAUGCAUCAUUAGGUACAAAAAAAAAAACAUAAGUCGCACAAGGCCAAAAAUGCAUCAUUAGGUAGAAAAAAACAUACAUAAGUCGCACUGGAGUAUAAGUCGCACAAGGCCAAAAAUCCAUCAUUAGGUACAAAAAAACAUAAGUCGCACUGGAGUAUAAGUUGCACAAGGCCAAAAAUGCAUCAUUAGGUAGAAAAAAACAUACAUAAGUCGCACAAGGCCAAAAAUGCAUCAUGAGGUAGAAAAAAACAUACAUAAGUCGCACAAGGCCAAAAAUCCAUCAUUAGGUACAAAAAAACACAUAAGUCGCACUGGAGUAUAAGUCGCACAAGGCCAAAAAUCCAUCAUUAGGUACAAAAAAACAUACAUAAGUCGCACUGGAGUAUAAGUCGCACAAGGCCAAAAAUCCAUCAUUAGGUACAAAAAAACAUAAGUCGCACUGGAGUAUAAGUCGCACAAGGCCAAAAAUCCAUCAUUAGGUACAAAAAAACAUAAGUCGCACUGGAGUAUAAGUCGCACAAGGCCAAAAAUGCAUCAUUAGGUAGAAAAAAACACAAGUCGCACUGGGGUAUAAGUCGCACAAGGCCAAAAAUGCAUCAUGAGGUAGAAAAAAACAUACAUAAGUCGCACUGGAGUAUAAGUCGCACUAGGCCAAAAAUGCAUCAUUAGGUAGAAAAAAACAUUCAUAAGUCGCACUAGGCCAAAAAUGCAUCAUUAGGUAGAAAAAAACACACAUAAGUCGCACUGGGGUAUAAGUGACACAAGGCCAAAAAUGCAUCAUUAGGUAGAAAAAAAUAUAAGUCGCACUGGAGUACAAGUCGCACAAGGCCAAAAAUCCAUCAUUAGGUACAAAAAAAAACAUAAGUCGCACUGGAGUAUAAGUCGCACAAGGCCAAAAAUGCAUCAUUAGGUAGAAAAAAACAUACAUAAGUCGCACAAGGCCAAAAAUGCAUCAUUAGGUACAAAAAAAAAAACAUAAGUCGCACAAGGCCAAAAAUGCAUCAUUAGGUAGAAAAAAACAUACAUAAGUCGCACUGGAGUAUAAGUCGCACAAGGCCAAAAAUCCAUCAUUAGGUACAAAAAAACAUAAGUCGCACUGGAGUAUAAGUUGCACAAGGCCAAAAAUGCAUCAUUAGGUAGAAAAAAACAUACAUAAGUCGCACAAGGCCAAAAAUGCAUCAUGAGGUAGAAAAAAACAUACAUAAGUCGCACAAGGCCAAAAAUCCAUCAUUAGGUACAAAAAAACACAUAAGUCGCACUGGAGUAUAAGUCGCACAAGGCCAAAAAUCCAUCAUUAGGUACAAAAAAACAUACAUAAGUCGCACUGGAGUAUAAGUCGCACAAGGCCAAAAAUCCAUCAUUAGGUACAAAAAAACAUAAGUCGCACUGGAGUAUAAGUCGCACAAGGCCAAAAAUCCAUCAUUAGGUACAAAAAAACAUAAGUCGCACUGGAGUAUAAGUCGCACAAGGCCAAAAAUGCAUCAUUAGGUAGAAAAAAACAUACAUAAGUCGCACAAGGCCAAAAAUGCAUCAUGAGGUAGAAAAAAACAUACAUAAGUCGCACUGGAGUAUAAGUCGCACUAGGCCAAAAAUGCAUCAUUAGGUAGAAAAAAACACACAUAAGUCGCACUGGAGUAUAAGUCACACAAGGCCAAAAAUGCAUCAUUAGGUACAAAAAAAAAAAACAUAAGUCGCACUGGGGUAUAAGUGACACAAGGCCAAAAAUGCAUCAUUAGGUAGAAAAAAAACACACAUAAGUUGCACUGGAGUAUAAGUCGUAUUUUUUGCAGGUAAUUUAUUUCCCAAACUACUUGACCAAAAGAAGGCACGUUCUAACAAUACAAGAAUAGAGAACAGGCUGAAUAGAUGUAAGAUAUGCUAAUGGUUAUUCAGCUACACCAAAAAUAAACAUGAACAGAAAAGGUGUUCCAGUUUUUUUCAUUUAUAAGUCGCUCUGGAGUAUAAGUCGCAGGAACAGCAACCUAUGAAAAAAGUGCGACUUAUAGUCCGGAAAAUACGCUAAUAUCCUCUUAUCUAACAGCUGCUGCUUUCAUUUUGUUGUAGUCUUGUACAUGCGCACAUCUUUCUUCCAGUCCGUGGCGAGUGGUGCUUUUGGUUCCUGGGCCUUCAGUGGGUACUCUCAUGAUGCAUCGCGAGAUGAGGAUCGAACCACCAACCUUGUGGGUUCUGGACGACCUGAAUUCAGAAAACGUAUUCAAACACCCUGAUAUGUAGGAUUCUACGCUGGGGGCAAGGUGUCAUUCGUGUUACUGUAAUAGUGGGUGAGACACACAAGCACCAGACUUCAUGGACCUUGCUUUGUGUACUGGGACGGUCACGCUGGAAGGCAGAAGAACUAACUUUUCCAAAACAUCUUUUAAAACAAUGUCAAUAAUCGUCUUGUUCUUGCAGUCCUGUCAUUGUCAUUUAAUCCACUUCUAUCUCUGUGUCAGCCGACUGGUCGCCCCCAAGAAGAGUUUUUUCCUCCGCCGGUGGGCCGUCUUCAGGAUGGCUGCCGACGCCGUUGUUCUGCGAGAGGGCUUCCAACUGAAGAGCAGCCACCUCUUCCUGCUGUUGAUAAUACUGGACCGUUUUUCUCUUGAAGCACCCCAGCUUCGAAGCACAAGAAGAAUGGAAGUCACCAAAGCGCCGAUUUGGACGGACAUUCAGGGAUUAGAACCAUCAUCGCUCACCUUACACAUGAUGAUGGCGAUGAUGAUCAGAAGCAAAAUUCCCAGUGCGGUUCCAGUUGAAAUGAUCAGGAGUUGAUCAGGAGAAAUGAUGAACUCAACCCGAACGCCAACCUGAAGAAAAGAAAUAUUUCAGGCGAGGGCUUGUUGGUAAAAGUUUGUGUAUCAAACGCACCCAUUUCUUGGUGGGGUUGUUGUCGUUCCACAAGGCAUCCUUCUCCUCCUCGGCUGGUCCUUUAUUCUUUGGGUCAACAUUUGGAUGACAGCAUAAUGAAACAGUACUGUACAGCGGAACCCUUUUAUGUCGACUCCCCGUCGAUGUGGACCAGCUCAUCAAGUCCCGGUCCACCGUGUUCUUAUGACUAGAAAACUGGUCAGAGAACGCCAUAGUUCCCCCAAUAUGGUGACUUCCACCAUGAAUGAGUCUAAAUCUACAUACGUAUUUAGGUUGCUAAUGUUAGCAUGCUCGUGUCAAGGUGUGAAAAAAAACAAAGGAAAAAUAAUCAAUUUAACAGAGAUCACCAAUCUUUUUUGUACAUAUUGUCAAUGGUAUCCUCUUUGCAUGACAUCUUUAUUGUUUUGAUUUCAUCUACCUGUUACUGUUAGUUCGAAGUAAAGCACUUUUACAACUCGGUGCUGUUACACAGUUACGCCACAGGGGGCCACGCACAGCAGUGAAGAAGUGAAGAAGAAAAAUAAACCGCUGUGUUGGAAAGACACCAACUUUUCCCGUUCUUGUCUGUGUUUCAGGUUUUGAGGUUGGACCGACUGUCGGAGCUCGCGCUUCUGUGGUCAUGCAAAUGUUAUUGCAGUGGUAACAUGCUAACACCUAGCAUAAUAGUGUUGUAGAGUGUCCGUCUUGUGGUCUGCAACACGAAGAAGACUUCAGGAGCAGUUUGAAAUGUGAGAACAAGAUGCUGUUUGAUUCAACAAGAUGUACACUGCCCCUGCAUUAUAGUCUUCAAGAGGGGCCCCGACCGCGACAUCUCUGAGUCUAUCUCCAUUGAGAUCCGCAAGACUAGCAAUGCUGGAACCGAACCUCCCCAUGGACUGCACGGCCAUCUUCAUUUCCCUUCUCAGCAGCAUCUGCAAGGACGAACGCUUGAGCGAUCCAUUCAUGUCAAUCCCAUUUUGUGAGUGUUUAUGGCCAUCCCACCUCAUCAGUCAGCGUGUAAACGUAGAUCUGUCCCUCAGACCUCUCCUGAGGAUGGUAAAACAAUGGCGCUCCCACCAGGAGGAAGUCACUGUUACCAUCCGAGUCCACGUCCAGUGUGCACAGCUCGGCCCCAAAGUAGGAACCAAUCUGAACAUGCGGGGAUAAAGCUUCAGUUGUUUUGUUCAUUGAGUCACUCGUUACCAUACGCUUGAAACUGCAACUUGAAUACAACAAUCAUUUGACUGUCUUUACCAACCUGAUCCCCAUUUACUCUUUGGCUAGCAUCCCAGCUGCUCCCGUUGCGUCUGAAGAGUAGCACUUGUCCUGUGUGCUGAAAUCUUGGAGCGCCCGUGAAAUACAGGGGAACAUUGUUGAUCUGUCCCACAGAAACAGAGUAUCCUGCAGUGGAGCAGUAGGACAUUGAAAAGGUUCCACUGGCAUAAAUGGCAGUGAUAUCAAAGAAAAACAAGGAUACCCAUGUAAGAGUCCAUCUCCAUGUGUGGAUCUUGUAUCCGUGUCUCGGUUAGGUUGUGACGCUGGUACAGAGCACCACGCCAGCUGUUUGAUCCCACUGAACCCAGGAUCAAGGUGUCCUGUGAUGGAAAAGCAUCCGACUACAGUCAAAACCUUGCUUUUCAUACACCCAUCAUGUUUUCUCUCUGUUAUUUACAAAUAUUGUUAAAAACAUCCUUUUUUCAAGUUAGAUGUAGUCAUCUGGACACUAGGCGUCAGUAGUAUUACACUGGUGAGACAUGACAUUAGAUUACCGUCACAUUGCAUGGAGUCAGCCCCGGCAUGUCCGACAUAGAGUGGAAGGAAGUUCUCUUCCCAUUUGGUGUGGAAGUUCUUUCUUCCCACUCCAUUUUAAACCCUUAAGUUUAGAAUACGGCAAAUAAAUUGGAGACUAACCAGUGAGCUCGCGAGCUCGCUGCUGUUGGAAGGAUAGCUCCAUGUGCCAAGAGCAGGUGAUCUCGGAACUCCUGCAAAUAGUGGGGAUCUAAUGGACCAUUUCAACUCUAAACCAGUUAGAUCUCCCCUUUACCAAUACCAUUGUUAUUUGCUUUAACCUUUCUUUGUGGUAGAAGUCAUUUCAAAGUUGUGUGCAGACGUUGCUUAGCUUACUCUGUAGAACGCAGCACUGAAUCCACUCUGGGACAUCUCAUCAGUCAUGUCUUCUGCCCGAGCAACUUUGGAGUCUCCUUCCAUGCUGAAGAUGUGUUUUUGGAAAUUUUCCAGUAAUCCCGUGAGUCCAUCAUACUGCUUAAUUUUAAAGGCAUAUUUGUCCUUGGGGUCUGAGGCAAUAGACUUGACUUUAUCCAGGCUGACG